ACGGUAACAGGAAGAAGCUUGCUUCUUUGCUGACGAGUGGCGGACGGGUGAGUAAUGUCUGGGAAACUGCCUGAUGGAGGGGGACUAACUACUGGAAACGGUAGCUAAUACCGCAUAACGUCGCAAGACCAAAGAGGGGGACCUUCGGGCCUCUUGCCAUCGGAUGUGCCCAGUUGGGAUUAGCUAGUAGGUGGGGUAACGGCUCACCUAGGCGACGAUCCCUAGCUGGUCUGAGAGGAUGACCAGCCACACUGGAACUGAGACACGGUCCAGACUCCUACGGGAGGCAGCAGUGGGGAAUAUUGCACAAUGGGCGCAAGCCUGAUGCAGCCAUGCCGCGUGUAUGAAGAAGGCCUUCGGGUUGUAAAGUACUUUCAGCGGGGAGGAAGGGAGUAAAGUUAAUACCUUUGCUCAUUGACGUUACCCGCAGAAGAAGCACCGGCUAACUCCGUGCCAGCAGCCGCGGUAAUACGGAGGGUGCAAGCGUUAAUCGGAAUUACUGGGCGUAAAGCGCACGCAGGCGGUUUGUUAAGUCAGAUGUGAAAUCCCCGGGCUCAACCUGGGAACUGCAUCUGAUACUGGCAAGCUUGAGUCUCGUAGAGGGGGGUAGA
rnacentral:rRNA from 1 species